ACAAUCCUUCUUCCAAUUCUUACCAGAUCACCCAUCCCAGCACAAUUCUCACUCAAACAUUCAUCAACCACAACCUCAUACACCUCUCCCAGAAACCACUCCGUCCUUCACAUUCCCAUCAUUUCCCAAACACAAUGCACACAUCCACACCAUUCUUCGUCUCUGGCCGCAAGCAUACAUGAUGGAAGCUGUGAGGAACUCUUCAACAACAUAAUUCGUUCUUCACGGGUUUUCUCUUACCUUCUCCAUGUUUUUAUUAUGAUUCAAAUGUAUCACUGUAAGAAACAAAACAAAAACAAAAACAAAAAACAAAAACCAAAAAAAAAAAAAAAAAAAGCUACACCCAACAAGAAGACCUUAAUAUUACUUUUGCAGCAAAGCUAGCUCUUGGGACGCAG
rnacentral:lncRNA from 1 species